rnacentral:rRNA from 1 species
UCCGUAGGUGAACCUGCGGAGGGAUCAUUACAAGUGACCCCGGUCUAACCACCGGGAUGUUCAUAACCCUUUGUUGUCCGACUCUGUUGCCUCCGGGGCGACCCUGCCUUCGGGCGGGGGCUCCGGGUGGACACUUCAAACUCUUGCGUAACUUUGCAGUCUGAGUAAACUUAAUCAAUAAAUUAAAACUUUUAACAACGGAUCUCUUGGUUCUGGCAUCGAUGAAGAACGCAGCGAAAUGCGAUAAGUAAUGUGAAUUGCAGAAUUCAGUGAAUCAUCGAAUCUUUGAACGCACAUUGCGCCCCCUGGUAUUCCGGGGGGCAUGCCUGUUCGAGCGUCAUUUCACAACUCAAGCCUCGCUUGGUAUUGGGCAUCGCGGUCCGCCGCGUGCCUCAAAUCGACCGGCUGGGUCUUCUGUCCCCUAAGCGUUGUGGAAACUAUUCGCUAAAGGGUGUUCAAGAGGCUACGCCGUAAAACAACCCCAUUUCUAAGGUUGACCUCGGAUCAGGUAGGGAUACCCGCUGAACUUAAGCAUAUCAAUAAGCGGAGGA